GAUGAAGAACGUAGCGAAAUGCGAUAAGUAAUGUGAAUUGCAGAAUUCAGUGAAUCAUCGUAUCUUUGAACGCACAUUGCGCCCGUCAGUAUUCUGGCGGGCAUGCCUGUUCGAGCGUCAUUACGCCCCUCAAGUCCCCUGUGGACUUGGUGUUGGGGAUCGGCGAGGCUGGUUUUCCAGCACAGCCGUCCCUUAAAUUAAUUGGCGGUCUCGCCGUGGCCCUCCUCUGCGCAGUAGUAAAACACUCGCAACAGGAGCCCGGCGCGGUCCACUGCCGUAAAACCCCCCAACUUUUUAUAGUUGACCUCGAAUCAGGUAGGACUACCCGCUGAACUUAAGCAUAUCAAUAAGCGGAGGA
rnacentral:misc_RNA from 1 species